AAGAGAGUGCUAAGUUAGUAGCAGAAAAUGAAUUUGUCCCUGGCUGAUGUGAAUCAACAGCACGCAGAUUCCGGCUUCAUUCAGAUGAAAAACCAUGGAGAUUAGCUAGCCACUGAUAGCCGGGAGGCUCCACUGGCUAUUGCGCUUUCUGGCCAGCUAGCAAACUAAGCUCCUGUUUCUCUUGGCACUGACCACGCAUGGGUGAGCUGGAUUAUGUUGGAGAACCUCUCUUGAUGCAUUUUCAUUUGCUGCGUGGUUCCUACCUGAUUUUGUACGAUCUCCUUACCUCCAAAUGGAUAACUUUCCCCCCUGCUUGUUCCUCGCACACUUUUGAGAUAAAUUUAAUACUUUAAUAAAACCCCAAAGUCAUCAGUUAUAAGUCUGGCUUCCCCCACCAUCUUUUCCUCCUUUGUUUUUGCAAGAUGCAGAGUGGUGAGCUGCCUAGCUUGGAUGAGAAGAGCUGUUGUAAUGAUGACUGAACUCAAACACUCUAAAGGGAGCACAUCUUAUAUUAUGCUGACCCGUUCAGAAAUUUCAUAAGGAUCUGACUUCCCUUUGAAGAGACCAGACAGACACCUCUGGAAGUUUACAAGUAAGGCGUGAAAGCAACAGCCCUCCCCAGCAUGUUGUACUCAAAGAUCUGGUUUUUAUGUAGCAGUUUUUACAGCUCUUUUCGAAAACAGUCUUCUCUCUCCACUUCUGCAAGAGCCUGGUGUCUCUUCCACAAGACUGCAAAGCAUGCAGCCAGAUUGGAGGUUACUUCUCCUAGGAUCUGGCCCAACAUAUGGAGGGGAGCAAGUGCAUCUCUCUCCACGUGGCAUGCCAGCUCCCAUCUUUACUGACCCCCAACUGUACAUGCGAAGAUAGAUUGUCCAAAUGCCAUCUACACAUGUAAAUUCAAUCUGCACAAGUGAAAAUCACAUGGCCCCUCUCCUGGUUUAAUUAGGAAAUCAGCCACAUGCUUUUCACCUGGGACUGUUACAUUGAAUGUGGGUAGGUGGCAUCUGCCCAAGCGAGGAAUUGUGUUUACUCGCUGCUCUGCACACAGAGGGGCUGGAUCAGGGGAGACAUAUUGGCCUAUCUGGCCCAAGCAGAGGGAGGUGCAGGUAACACAUGCUCAUUGUAACAUGUAAACCAGCUGUUCAUCCUAAGCACCUGCAAAGCAGCUAACCUGGGACUGCCACGUUGAUGACAGCACCUAAACAGCCUCUGAGAAAGGAUGCCAGCAGCCAUGCAAUUGCUAGAAGCAAUGCUGAAAGUUGUAAUCAAAUGAAGCUAAUGAAGUUGUCUAUUUCGGAAUGUGAAAGAUUAUGCCGGAAACAUGUAAUA